UGUGUCUGGUUACGGGUUCCCUAGAAGGAGACGUCUUUGUGUGGAACCCAGCCCUGGACUGUUUACCUCACAAACGGUGCUACCACAGCCUUGGGUGCUCCUGCAGGCAAAGCGCAGAGCAUCCUGGGAAAUGUAGUUCCCAUCCGCCUUAUAACUCAGGGGGCCCUUUGUCUCUUCCAGUGGGAGCCUGUGUUGCCUGCUGUGGCCUUGACUGCCUGGGCUCAACCAGUCCUGCCUCAGCCUGCAGAGUAGCCCGGACCUCGGGCGCACUUCACCAAACCCACAGGUGUUACGGUUGAGGCAGUGGAGGGGGAAAGAGCACCCGGGCUGCUGCGAAUGCCCCAAAGGCUGUGGGGGUAAAUGUGAGGUGGAGACCGGAGUGCUGGACCCUGAGCCGGACGCCGCAAUGGGGAAUGACACUGCUGCAUCGCUGCUGUUAUAAAUACCUGCAGGGAGAAAUGCCAGGAGAACUCACUGUUUGCCAGGCACCAUCCUACAUCCUGAAUACAUUAUUCAAGAUCUGUGGCCUCUGCCUUCAAGAAGCUUAGUGAGAGUCCCACCGGCGGUGAGCAAAUGAGAGGCGCGGGAGCAGCACGGGCAGAGGGAGGGCGG
rnacentral:lncRNA from 1 species